rnacentral:lncRNA from 1 species
AGUCCAAAAUAAUCAGGUCUAACAAUAAUCAAGGGCCUAACCAAAUAAUCUAGAGUCUAACCUCAAAAACGAGGUUUUUCAAAUUAUUUAUAAAAAAAUAAAAACCUAAUUAAACGAGGACUUUAUUUGCUGUAAAUCUGUCAAAACGCGGCUGGAUCGACGGACAUCGCGACGGAUCAUCGUGGUCAUGACGGACUGUCAUGGACUCCGUCGUCCCAUACAUGAUGCAAUUUCUUAUGCUGCUCUCUUCAUUACCCUCGACGGCAGGUAUGACGGAUCGUCAAAGGUACAACGGUCCGUCGAGGGUCUCCGUUCCAAAACACUUGAACUCUUGGAAUAUGGGUACUAGACUACUUCUUUGAACUUUAUGACGAACCUGCAGGAGGACCGUAAUGGAUACGACGGUCCGUCACGCUUUUCGUAACCCUACACUUGGUCAGACUUCCCCAUCUUCCUUCAGCAGCUGCACUACGCUGCUGCCAACGGACUGUCACGAGCAAGACGGACCGUCACAAGCUCCGUAGGUGGUCUCUUCUGCAUUUCUUCACUCAAAAACCUUCGCAUUCAUCUUUGGACAGAUUUCGUGCAAAUAAGGAGAAACUUAUAUAAAAAUUAGCACAAAAAGACUUUUGAACACACUAAACUUAAGACAAAAGUAUUAAUAAUACCUUGAAACCACGAUAUAUCAAAAAACAACAGAAACCUCUAAAGUUUAGAUUAAAAACACAAUAAAACAUUUAGUUUGUGAAAACUAUCAUUGUUUCCUAGUGAUUCAAAGAAGGAUUUGAAGCAAAUUAUUCAGUUCGUGAAUUUUCAUUUCGCUGCAACAAUCAAAGGUACAUAAAUCUUGUACCAAACUUUUUUUAAAUUAUUUCACCAAAUUUGUCUAAAUUGAGAUCGAUGUUUCGGAGAUGCACCGACUGGAAGAUCUAGUCGGAGUCACGGAUGAUUACCGGGCCCCGUCUCCUCCCGCAGAGGGAAGUGAUUGUUUAAUCAUGGAGAAACAUUUCACACUGUUGAAAACUUUUUUAGGACAAUGCAACACGACUCAAGUAUUUAUCAAUUAUAUGCUCUAUUAUUUAUAUAUUAUUGUGACAAUUUUCAUCUUAUUUUCUGGACCACUUUUUAGUAAAUAGUAAAGUUAUUUAUUAUUAUUAAUGUGAAUUUUCUAACAUUUCCCCAACAAUCUAAGAAAUAAUAAUUUUGUGGGC